UACGUAGGGCGCAAGCGUUAUCCGGAAUUAUUGGGCGUAAAGAGCUCGUAGGCGGUUUGUCGCGUCUGCCGUGAAAGUCCGGGGCUCAACUCCGGAUCUGCGGUGGGUACGGGCAGACUAGAGUGAUGUAGGGGAGACUGGAAUUCCUGGUGUAGCGGUGAAAUGCGCAGAUAUCAGGAGGAACACCGGUGGCGAAGGCGGGUCUCUGGGCCGACACUGACGCUGAGGAGCGAAAGCGUGGGGAGCGAACAGG
rnacentral:rRNA from 1 species